UGAGGUCUUGGCUUAAUUAAAGUGUUUGAGUUGCAUUCAGAAGAUGUAUAGUUUAUACAGGCCUU
rnacentral:tRNA from 1 species